UACGAAGGUGGCAAGCGUUGUCCGGAUUUACUGGGCGUAAAGCGCCCGCAGGCGGCUUGGUAAGUUUCAGGUGAAAUCUCCCGGCUCAACCGGGAGGGGUCUUGGAAAACUGCCAGGCUUGAGGCAGGGAGGGGGAUGCGGAAUUCCAGGUGUAGCGGUGAAAUGCGUAGAUAUCGGGAGGAACACCAGCGGCGAAGGCGGCAUCCUGGCCCUGACCUGACGCUCAGGGGCGAAAGCGUGGGGAGCGAACCGG
rnacentral:rRNA from 1 species